rnacentral:rRNA from 1 species
UACGGGGGGGGCAAGCGUUGUUCGGAAUUACUGGGCGUAAAGGGUGCGUAGGCGGCUUUCUAAGUUGGAUGUGAAAACUCUGGGCUCAACCCAGAGCCUGCAUCAAAAACUGGAGAGCUUGGGUACUGGAGGGGAAAGCGGAAUUCCUGGUGUAGCGGUGAAAUGCGUAGAUAUCAGGAGGAACACCGGUGGCGAAGGCGGCUUUCUGGACAGUUACCGACGCUGAGGCACGAAAGCUAGGGGAGCAAACAGG